UGAGUCAGAGUGUGCUUUGAUAUUAACGCCAUCAUGCUCAUCAUCAUCAUCUGCGCGGAAUGGGGUUCGGGUUCGGGGCCUAGAUGGCAGCUGUCAUCGUUCAUAGUUAGGGUAUUCCUGAAAGAUAUACUGAAUUGCUUUGGGUCUGAAUUCCAUAAAACACGGAUAGCGUGAUGGAAGUUUAACUAAAUUUGUCAAAUUAAAGGCCAAAAAAUACCCAUAAUGCUGACUGUCCUUUUACUAAGCGUUUGCCCCUACAUAACCUCAUCUCCUCCACCCUCCUGGAGUCAUCACCCAUGCCCUGCCCUUCCGUUCCCCCCCCUGGAGAGAAGUGUACAUAUUUGUACUGCAAUUUGGCGUAGCGUCGCCGUCGCCCGCCCUGCUGUUGGCUGCGCUGCCUGCUCCUGUGAUUUGCCUCUUUUUGGGCUCUCAUUUACACAGAAAUGCUCUAUGGAAUCGCAUUUUUGUGUAGUUUUGCAUCGACGGGGUCCUGUGAAAUAUGCUACGCAAUGAAAUUUUCCUCCUUCUGGAUUCCAUGACAACCAAAACACACAUAUGAGAUGGAUGGAUGGAUGGUCUUUGUUAUUUUGUAAUGGAGAUGCUGUGGGAAAGAGACCCAGAGAAAGAGAGAGAGCGAUAGAGAGAGAAAAUAGGGACGGAAGAGAGAGAGAGCGGGAGAAUGUGUGGCGAAAAAAGAUGCAAGGCAAAAUGUCAAAAACGAAUUGCACACAAAAAUUCCCAGGCGGUAAGGGCAGCAAAGCAGGACUACGCGCUGAGAAUUCACAAUUGGCAAAGGGCGUAACCGAGUACCCGAUCUGGAACAGCCCAAAGAAUGUUUUAUAUUCAUUUUAUAAGAGUUGGCUGUACGUUUAAGUACGUGAAUGAGGAAAAAAGUUCAAUUAUGGAGCAUAGACUGCCUUGGCUUUAAUCUAAACUAUCUUCUUAAGAUUUUGAUGUUAGUUAUUUAAAAUCUUACAAUAUUACUUAUUACUUGUAUU
rnacentral:sRNA from 1 species